UGACAAACAUGUUUAAAGGUCCCAAGUUGAUGACUAGGCGAACACCCCCGCCUUUUUUGGGUACUAAGAAUAGGUUGCUUAGGAAACCCGGUGUGACAGGGGGAACAGUAUAAAUUGCCCCCUUGGAGGCUAAGGCCUGGACCUCUUGGGUUAUCAACUCCCGGUCCCGAGUGGGGAACACCAUUCGGCCGGGGGGUUCCAGUUGGACCGGGUAUUGCACGAAGUCUAU